UUUUUGCAAAGCACUUGUCUGUAAUGUGCAACUUUUCAGCAGUUGGUAUGGGGCAUGCUAGGUGAGUGAGCUGUGCGGCAGCAGUGCAAGUAUUGGGAGGGGAUGGCUAUUUACCUGCUGUACAUACUGGAACUGGAUCUAAAUGCCAUGCUUGUGUGCAAGCUCUAGUUAGUGGCCAGUUGGUGUUGCACUGAUCCCUCACUGUAUAGCAAUAAAGUCUCCAUGUCAUUCAAAAUCAGCCUGUAAGCCUGGCCAGAUGUCACUGUUACUAUGGGCACCCAUAAUAAAUUCCUGCAAGGACCCACACAAUGGCAAAACUGGAAACAAGAUAAAUGUCUCCUUUCAGUCAUCACAGGAAGGCUGAAGGAUGGGCAUCCCAUAAUAUGUCCCUGAGCUGUGAUUCAGGUUCCUCUGUUCUUGCACUGGCUGGGGGUGCAACAUCCACCCCCCGCAGCAUCACAUUGCAUUCUAAGUUUGUUGCCUCACCCAUUUAAAAAUGGCUUCAUAUUGAAUCCACAGGCUGCAGCUCUGAUUGGUAAUUAGCCAUGCUGCCGGCCUCUGAGACGGUUACUAUUCCUGUUCAUAUCCCUGGGGGGCAACUGUUUAAACAGAGUAGUUGGGGGAAGACAUAAGACAGAUAAAAUACACCACGUUUUGCACAGUCUAUCUAUUUACCCAGUUUUUAUUUUUACACUGAACAAUUCCUUUAAAGCAUAUUAGAAGGGUGUUCUAUUUUCAGUUAUAUUGUGUCUGACAAGGAUGAAAUUCAGAGUUCUAAUAUUUUGCUGCACGUUUUUUCUCGUUGUUUUUAGAGGAUGUCGAUGCCCAGAAAAUGGCACCUCCAACAGGCGGCAUCCCUGAACUGCAGCCCGCAGCGGCAAAACCUACUGCAUUAAGGACUCGGAUUUUCAAGCAUCACUUAGACGUGGGACACAACAGCCAAGCAUACGACGCAUUAACUCAAAUCCCAGAUCCUAGCAGGCAACUGGACUGUUUACGGCAGCUCAUAGUGGUUCUGUGUGAGUGCUCCCAGCUGCAGGACCUUGUAGAGUUUCUAUAUGUAAAUCUCCAUAAUGAGGUAACUGCCCAUUUCUUUUCUGUCCUGGGGGGGCACUUGCACAGUGAGCAGAUGCUUCACUUUCUUCAUAAAGUCUCACUUAAAUAUGCCUUAGGUAGGUUGUAGGUAUCAUUGAAUCUCAUGCUCGUACCGUUGACCUAAUGACCCACAACUACUGUGUGAACUCCAGUAUGAGUUCCAUAUAUACCGACACAACUACAGAAAAGGUACAAGUCCCUUCUCAAUUCUCUUCUGGCUAACUGAAUGAUAGCAUUAUAUUCCUGACAUGCCCUGAUACCUUCCUGGUCAGUACAUGAUGCAUAUGUGACAGCUGGAAUAUGACAGGAGUAAGACUAUAUAAUAUAGAUCUAUAUAUAAUCCUGCCAUUUGUGUAUAGCUGUUUGUUUCCCAUAAAUUUGGGGAGGCCCAUUUAUCAAAGGUCGAAUUUCGAAUUCAUGUGAGUUUUUUUUUUUUUAACUCUAAUAAAUUCGAAUAUACUCGAAAUUUGAUUGGGAGGUUAUUUAAGAAAAAACAAUCGAAUAUCUAAAACUCGAACUAAUAUUUUCCGACCUGAAACCUUUAAUCAAAUUCUACUAAACUCGAACCGAGUUUUUUCUCUGAAAAAAACUUGAAUGUCAGGAAGACUAUUAACAUCUUCAAAGGGACUCAGAGCAGAAUUACUUGGUGUAUUUAUAUAGACCUUUCUGAUAAAGCUUACUUGGUUUUAGCCUUUCCUUCUCCUUUAAGGCUUUAUUGCCUCCUGAACUGAACCAACUGUGCUUGUGCCACUGUGAUAGGAAAAUUAGUUCUACUGGAGAAGCCAUGCACUGUAUAAAGGAUAGCAAUGAUGUUUCAUUCCCCCAGGCUCCUCUCAGUUGGUCUGGUUCCCUUAUUCAGCUAUUGACUAUCUCCAGCAGACUCUGGGCGAGAAUGAAAGUAACUGGCACAAUCAGGCUGUUGAGAUUACUGCUUUCCUCCCUGUCUCAUGUUGAAGGGGUUGUUCACCUUUAAAUUAACUUUUGGUAUGAUGUAGAGAGUGAUAUUC